AUGAACGCUGGCGGCGUGCCUAACACAUGCAAGUCGAGCGGGAAAUACUUGAUUGAAACUUCGGUCGAUUGAUAGUAUGGAGAGCGGCGGACGGGUGAGUAACGCGUAGGCAACCUGCCUUAUGCAGAGGGAUAGCCAUUGGAAACGAUGAUUAAAACCUCAUAAUGCCAAGAGUUCACAUGUACUUUUGGCCAAAGAUUUAUCGGUGAUGGAUGGGGAUGCGUCUGAUUAGCUUGUUGGCGGGGUAACGGCCCUCCAAGGCGACGAUCAGUAGGGGUUCUGAGAGGAAGGUCCCCCACAUUGGAACUGAGACACGGUCCAAACUCCUACGGGAGGCAGCAGUGAGGAAUAUUGGUCAAUGGACGAGAGUCUGAACCAGCCAAGUAGCGUGCAGGAUGACGGCCCUAUGGGUUGUAAACUGCUUUUAUAAGGGAAUAAAGUGAGUCUCGUGAGACUUUUUGCAUGUACCUUAUGAAUAAGGACCGGCUAAUUCCGUG
rnacentral:rRNA from 1 species